AGUUUCAGUAGUACAUGCCACUUCUCUGCUCAAAUCCCACCCUUUAAAAUCAAGAUUCGACUCGGAUCUGCAAAGUUAUGAAGGGUGUGGACAUGAACUUUUCUCAAUACAGCACGCUAAAUGGUGGCAGACAAGCAUGGGGAAGACAACCAUAUCCAGCCGGAAAUGCUGUCAGACAUUAUUACUCUGUGGGGAGUCUCAUAACAGGCUGAAAGGGUAAAGACAAAGCUGAAAAUGAAGAGGAUGAAUGCUGGGAGAAAGCGUGCUUCCUGUCACUGGGAAGGAGCCUAGAAAGAGGUGAGGGCGAUUGACUGCAGCCGAACCCAUGCGGAGCCGCAGACUUCACCUGCUCAUAAACGGGGCAUUGACGAGGAACACGUGUCAGAUGUAAUCAGUGUUGUGACUGUGUCUGUGUGUAGAGGCCAUGGCUGACUUGCUCUGAUGGCUUCUUGACUGUCAGGAAACAAAAGUGGCAAAUGGUGUAUGUGGCAACAACAGUGGUCGAGCAUAAAAAAUGAAUUUGAGCUCACUUGGUCCCCUGCAUUUCAUUAAUCUGAGGCUUUUUCACAGCUCUAUACAAUCACAACAAAAUAGGCCCUGAGCCAAGUCACAAUUAGUUCUGCCAGGGAAA